GACGGUAUAGUUUAAGUUAAGAUGUGUGCUCUGCGAGCAUUCGGUAGAGAUUCUUGCCGUUG
rnacentral:tRNA from 1 species